GAAUGGUGACGAGGCUGAAGUAUCACACUUCCCACACACCAUCUAUCAAUUCGGGAAAUUUUUCACAGAGCAAUAUCACACUAAUACAUUAUCUUCGCCUCAGUCAAUUGUACAGUCAGAUCUUGAAAGAAUAUUUGAAUAUGUGGAGACAACACUUCUUGCACGGGUCACGAUACUACAGAAGUGAAGAGCACGAACAAACACUUCUGGUGAGCAUUGAAGAGGUGAGCAGAGCCUGUGUGCCGCCCAGCGCUUCCCUUGGCUUGUGGUGAGGCAAGGAGGGAGGGAAAGGCUGGGAAGGAAGAGCCUGGGGCGAGAACGUGCACCAUGGAAGGAUGGAAGGAAGCACAUCACAGUAUCCUCAGUAAAAUGUUCCCAACCUAACCUCAUCCAAUCUGAAACAAUGUAAUUGAAUGUACCGUAACCUAAUCUUACCUAACAAUGGAAUGAAGGUAAAAUAACCUAACUUGAUUUCAUCUCACAUAAUUCAAGUUUACUUGAGCUAACCAAACUUCACCAAUUGAAUAUAACUCAACCUAACUAACCUAUCAAGCUAACCUUUCCUGACCUAACCUAACCUAACCCGUCAACGCCUCCUGCCGUUUUGGAAUAUUGGAGCUCUUGGGCGUUGUGGGAGUCCCGGCAGUGUGUGCGGGGCGUGGCCAGUGCCUGUCACCACUGAGAGUGCCAUGAGGAGCGCCACACCUCAUCCGCCCUCGACAUGGAGCGACGCGUCCUGCUGGUGAUCCUACUGGUGUGUGCCUGCCUGCUGGCCUCUGCCGUGGCCUUUCCUCUGCCUGAACCGCUGUCUGGAAACAGAUUCCGUCCUCGUGAAGCCAACAGAUGCCUUUGCUAUACUUUCCCGUGUAACUGUGGAUGGGGCCGCACACCUCUUCGGUAAUGAGGAAAACGCCUGACCUCUGGAGCCUCUACAUGACCUGACCUGAACUCACCUGUUCUGAACCAACAAGCCUCAGGAUGAAAAAUAAAACAAAAUAGAGACUCUUCCUUCUCACUUCUCACUUGCAUUCACGCCUAAUAAAGCCUGCAAUAUCUGUUCAUGCUUGAUAUUAGUUUGGUGUUCCUUUGCCUCGCUGCACGCUGGCUGUCUGGUGGAGGCACAAGAAAGGCUUGCAAGCGUCAUUUAGAAAAGUUAACCUUACAUCUUACACACUUCUGUUCUUACAAUAAGCAAAUCGCAUCGAAUCACUAAGACUUUCCAAUCUUUUCACAUAAACAACAUUUGCGUUAGAUGUGAGAGCAAUUCAUUAAAAUGUUUUGGAAAUGCAAUUUUGGCAACGCGUUUGAUAUGGGAAAGUAUCCAUAGGUGAGACACUGCAUCCCCUGGCUGAUGGAGUCCCGGAACAGCCGCUGCCGCUCCGACGCCCAGUGGCUUUCCCACACACAUUGACAUAGGCAGGAGUGUCCGUGUCGCCUGGUGCACUUGUUGGCAGUACAGUAGUGUGUUUCCCGCAAUGGUGACAAAAAAGGGAAGGAAUGGCCGAGUUAAGAUGGCUAUUUACCUCGCCGCGGCAGGUGCACCAUAGUGAAGGGAAGGCCAGAGGGAACAUAACAUGGCCUGGUGGGGAAGCCCUCGCCAGGUGUCCACAACCCGGCAGCACCUGGCACUCUGUUCCGGCAGGUAUAUGAGGAGGCAAGCCCCAACCAGUGCCACACUUCGACAUGGAGCGACGUACCCUACUGAUUGUCCUGCUUGUGUGCAGCUUUCUGCUGCUGGCUGUCUUCGCUGAGCCCUCGCCUCGGGUGAGUGGCCGCCGCUCCAGGUUCAGCAGAACGCCGUUUUUUGGCGGACCAGGCUGUAAGUGCUUCAGGUUACCGUGUUAUUGUGCCCAAUACGGUUAACCCGGCCAGCGAACUCUCUGGCUUCCAGACACUGCUCCCUCGCACCACACGACACUCGCCAUGGAUGGAAAGCGCUGACUCUUGGUUCUUCGGAUGAAUUAACAAAUUAACGGAAAAUUUUGCUUUGCACUUAGUGGUAAAUAAAAUCACAGCAAUU